rnacentral:rRNA from 1 species
CGGAACGGGUGAGUAACGCGUGAGGAACCUGCCUCAAAGAGGGGGACGAACAGUUGGAAACGACUGCUAAUAACCGCAUAAGCCCACGGUGCCGCAUGGCACAGAGGGAAAAGGAGCAAUCCGCUUUGAGAUGGCCUCGCGUCCGAUUAGCUAGUUGGUGAGGUAACGGCUCACCAAGACCGCGAUCGGUAGCCGGACUGAGAGGUUGAACGGCCACAUUGGGACUGAGACACGGCCCAGACUCCUACGGGAGGCAGCAUG